rnacentral:rRNA from 1 species
GUAGGUGGCAAGCGUUGUCCGGAAUUAUUGGGCGUAGAGCGCGCGCAGGCGGUUCUUUAAGUCUGAUGUGAAAGCCCACGGCUCAACCGUGGAGGGUCAUUGGAAACUGGAGAACUUGAGUACAGAAGAGGAAAGCGGAAUUCCACGUGUAGCGGUGAAAUGCGUAGAGAUGUGGAGGAACACCAGUGGCGAAGGCGGCUUUCUGGUCUGUAACUGACGCUGAGGCGCGAAAGCGUGGGGGGAGCAAACAGGAUUAGGUACCCUGGUAGUCCACGCCGUAAACGAUGAGUGCUAAGUGUUAGGGGGGUUUCCGCCCCCCUUAGUGCUGCAGCUAACGCAUUAAGCACUCCGCCUGGGAGUACGGCCGCAAGGCUG